UUGGCCUGCCCAAUGAUUAAUUUUUAAUGGCUGCAGUAUUAUGACUGUACAAAGGUAGCAUAAUCAUUUGUCUUUUAAUUGAAGUCUGGAAUGAAUGGUUGGAUGAAAAAUUUACUUUCUUUAUUUUAUAAAAAUAAAUUAAUUUUUAAAUUAAAAAGUUUAAAUUUAAUUAGAGGACGAGAAGACCCUAUAGAACUUUAUUUUUAAAUGAGGAAAUUUUAUUUUGUUUAUUUUUAAAAUUUCCUUUUUUAAAAAUUUUAUUGGGGUGAUAAAAAAAAAUUAUUAACUUUUUUUAUUUAUUUCAUGCAUAUAUGAUUAUUUGAUCCUUUUUUAUGGAAAAAAGAUUAAGUUACCUUAGGGAUAACAGCGUUAUUAUUUUAGAGAGUUCUUAUUGAUAAAAUAGUUUGCGACCUCGAUGUUGGAUUAAAAUAAGUUUCAGGGGUAUAAAAUUGAAUACUAGGUCUGUUCGACCUUUAAAUUUUUACGUGAUCUGAGUUCA
rnacentral:rRNA from 1 species